rnacentral:rRNA from 1 species
AAAACUUCCAACAACGGAUCUCUUGGUUCUC